AUACAGGAAGGAGUAUCAUCAAACUUAUACUUAAUAACUUGCUCCUACUAAACUCUUUUUUUAUUAUUAUUCAUUCAACAUGACCCUUUUGCAAACAUAUACACACAGACGGUAUGAUAACUUGGAAAAACCCUCAGUUCACAAAACAAAAUACACGCACACAAGCAACAUCCCCUCAUCUCAUCUCCUUCACUACAUUCUUCUUUAAGAAACCCUAAAUUCCUUUCUUCCAUCCACACAACACCCCUUUACAUCACUCCCCAACCUCUCGAUCUCCGAUUCCGGCGACUGGAGCCGCUUAUCCGGCGACCGGUUACCUCCGGCUACACCACGAUCACCCCUAACUCCUCUCUUUCCCCUAAAAUCGUCGCCCACACACACAAAUACACCCAACCCCCUUGUCUCUUUCGGAUUAAACGGCCAGCCAGCCACCAUGGUGAUGGCGGCGCACGACGGUAACGACCGAGGAGGAGAGAGAGAACGAAAGAGAAUCGGAGAAGGAAGGCGGACAGUGGCGGAGACAGACGACGCCGACGACGACCGGCUGCCGCUGUGAACGGCGUCAGUGGCUUUUUCCGACGAGACUAUUAUUCCGGGGUAUUGAUAUGUUGAUGAUCGGUGAUGACCGAUGAUGAUGCUGAUGGGGGGGGGGUGGGGCGGCCGACGGUGGCGAACCGUUUUACCAGCAUCGGAGACUCACGGCAACAGUGGUGUCAUUCUGGUGGACUUUGGGUUUGGUUCACGUGUUGGUUCAGUAGUCAACGUGGGGUUUCGGGUCAGAUUCGGGUUCGCGACUCAGUUCGGUGUUCAAGUCAAGGUUUGGUUCAACUCGGUCAAACCCGAGUCAACUCGGGUCAACAACUGGUCAAACGUCAGUUUCGGGUGUUACGGAUUCUGGUCAGUGGUUCGGGUCAACUAUAGUCAACUGGUCAGCCAGGGUUCGGUUGCGGUUCGAGUGGCCAAAUUUUGAUUCAGUUCGAGUUGGUCAGUCAACGGUCAAACUCAGUCAACUGAGGUCAGACUCAGUCAACACGAGACGCGGUAAAGAUUUAAUUGACGCAAAAUUUUUGAAAUUAUUGUUAUGGAUUGUAGAUUUUUAGAUUACGCGAACCGAGCUCGAACCUUUAGCGAUUAUAUACGUUUUAUUCUUGGCGCUUUUUGACGAAAACUACAUAUAUUCGAUAACAAUGCGUUGAAUUAUUGUUGA